ACAAAAAGGAAGCAUAAAUUCAUUCAUCCGUGUUACUACUACGUACCCUACUGUAGCAAUCAUUCACAAUAGUCUGCAAAACAUAUACGAACGUUUACCAACACUGGAUAACAUAUGUUUCAUGUUUUACAAUCAAAACAAAAAAAUUAGUAUAGUAAAAACAGCGGGGCUUAACCGCGAUCCGUAUGUCGGGCGGUCGCACGAGCAAGGUUUCCCCCCCUGUUUGCGUAUGGUCUACUGCGGAUUGUCAAUCCCCACUACUAUAAGAAAAAUAGACCAUUCCGACCAAAAAAAAUGAUGAAAAUGUAAAAAUCUUUAAGAGCACGGCCAUGUGGUGAGGCGCCGAUGUCGCUGGCCAAGCCGGAUAGUGCUCGAAUCUCGUCCCACUAAGGUCCCCCCACGCAAAAAUUUUUUUGACAUACACCCUACAGUCGGCACCCUCAGAGUCCCACCGCAGCAACUCUUACCAUUUGAUGGAUUGAUCGUAAAAUUUAUGAAAGUUAUUUUAAAAGCGAUAACCGACCGUGAGCUGGACCGAAUUGAAAACAAGUAGAAAAGUAUAGUCUGGCAAGGCCGACCAUAUAAUACCCUACACCAUGAGUAUAUUUUUAAAAUUUUUAUUUUUCAUAAAG